UACGUGAGGGGCGAACGUUGUUCGGUGUCACUGGGCUUAAAGGGUGCGUAGGUGGUUGUGUAAGUAACGUGUGAAAUCCCUCGGCUUACCUGGGGAAUUGCAUGUUAUACUGCAUGACUUGAGGACUAAAGGGGAAAAGGGAACUCCAGGUGUAGCGGUGAAAUGCGCAGAUAUCUGGGGGAAGGCCGGCGGCGAAGGCGCUUUUCUGGUUAGUACCUGACACUGAGGCACGAAAGCGUGGGGAGCAAACAGG
rnacentral:rRNA from 1 species